rnacentral:rRNA from 1 species
AGCGAACGCUGGCGGCAGGCCUAACACAUGCAAGUCGAACGGACCCUUCGGGGUUAGUGGCGGACGGGUGAGUAACACGUGGGAACGUGCCUUUAGGUUCGGAAUAGCUCCUGGAAACGGGUGGUAAUGCCGAAUGUGCCCUUCGGGGGAAAGAUUUAUCGCCUUUAGAGCGGCCCGCGUCUGAUUAGCUAGUUGGUGAGGUAACGGCUCACCAAGGCGACGAUCAGUAGCUGGUCUGAGAGGAUGACCAGCCACACUGGGACUGAGACACGGCCCAGACUCCUACGGGAGGCAGCAGUGGGGAAUCUUGCGCAAUGGGCGAAAGCCUGACGCAGCCAUGCCGCGUGAAUGAUGAAGGUCUUAGGAUUGUAAAAUUCUUUCAACGGGGACGAUAAUGACGGUACCCGGAGAAGAAGCCCCGGCUAACUUCGUG